AGCGAACGCUGGCGGCAGGCCUAACACAUGCAAGUCGAACGAACUCUUCGGAGUUAGUGGCGGACGGGUGAGUAACACGUGGGAACGUGCCUUUUGGUUCGGAAUAACUCAGGGAAACUUGUGCUAAUACCGAAUGUGCCCUUCGGGGGAAAGAUUUAUCGCCAUUAGAGCGGCCCGCGUCUGAUUAGCUAGUUGGUGAGGUAACGGCUCACCAAGGCGACGAUCAGUAGCUGGUCUGAGAGGAUGACCAGCCACACUGGGACUGAGACACGGCCCAGACUCCUAAGGGAGGCAGCAGUGGGGAAGCGGGCGGAAGGGGAGAAAGGGUGACGCAGCCAGGCCGGGUGAAUGAUGAAGGUCUUAGGAGGGGAAAAUUAUUUGACCGGGGAGGAUAAUGACGGUACCCGGAGAAGAAGCCCCGGGUAACUUCGUG
rnacentral:rRNA from 1 species